rnacentral:tRNA from 1 species
GUUAGAAGUAACUUAAAUUUAAAGUAUACCAUUGAAGCUGGUACUAUGGCCAUGCCCUUCGACAU